ensembl:lncRNA
CCUCUGGUGAGAGACGGAAAGCAGGGAAGCCGAAGAGAGGAAGGAGGGCGGGAAAGGAGAUGUCGAAGUGAGUUUGGAUGGUGGCUGAGAAGAGAAGUGGAGAGAUAAGGAAGAAAAAGAAUGAAGGGUGGGCAAAAGGCAAUGGAGGAGGCAACAAGUGAGGAAAGGACAGGUGGAAGAAGAUGAAGAAAGGAUAUAGAAAAAGAAAUGGUUGAAUGGUGACAUGUUGAUGCAAUCAGUUUACAGAAUACAAGCAGCAUUUUUCAGUAGAUGAAAUGUUCUUGUUUUUUGAGUAGAGCAUAAAAGUUAUAGAGCCAAAGUCUGACCAGUGGCACAGCGAGGGAACAUUUUGUGCAGCCUGCAAGCGUGUCAAGAAAAGAUGAAACACCAACAGUUUGUGUCAUUCUAUAAAGCAGCACAGAGAAAGACUGAGGGAGCAUUUCUCUUCAGUUUCAGAUCUUCUUUCUAUCCAUCAUACAUGGCUAACCCUUCCUAACAUUAACACAUGGAGCUGGUGUCAACAAACACUGCCUCACUGAUGGUUAAAAACGGUAAACUCAAGGCAGCACAAGAUUCUCUGGGCAGGUUACGAACGCUACCUACAAUUUUUUGGAUGUUUGCAUUUUUCUUGUUCACAUGAGCCCAAACUUUGAGACCCCCCCCCCCCCCCCCUCCAUUGCGGAGAGUUGACUUUUAGAUACCCAUUCGUUCAUUUUCUUCUGCUUAUGGAGUUCAACAGGGGUUAGCUGUCAUAGGGCGAGGGGCAGGGUACACCCAGGAGAGGUCGCCUGUGGAUCUACCAGCUCCACACAGAGACAGACAAUCACGAACAUGCCCAGAACCUUCUUGUGACAAGGUUAACCACUGCACCCAUGAGCCACUCUCUUGGCAUGUCUUUUAUCCUGUCUUCCUUCUCUCACCCCAACCGGUCGCAGCAGAUGGCCCCGCCCCUCCCUGAGCCUGGUUCUGCCGGAGGUUUCUUCCUGUUAAAAGGGAGUUUUUCCUUCCCACUGUCGCCAAAGUGCUUGCUCAUAGGGGGUCAUAUGAUUGUUGGGUUUUUCUCUGUAUCUAUGAAGCACCUUGAGGCGACUUAUGUUGUGAUUUGGCGCUAUAUAAAUAAAAUUGAAUUGAAUUGAAUUGAAAAUAUACUUUCAGGUUUCCUACUCUGUGGUCAUGAGGUAUAGGUAAGGUAAGUAUAUUUUAUAUAGAGAGGUACUACUACUAAGAAUUAAACACUGCAGUUGUGAUAUAUUUAUCACAGCAGGCACGUGUUUUAUAAAUAUCGACAACAGUAAAUCUUAGGUUUCUUUCAGGAUGUCAGCAGAAACACUAAAAAACUGCAGUCAGAUUUCUUACCAUGAGUAAUGCAGAUUGUUGUAAGAUCAGCAUCACCUUGUGGCUUAAUUUCCUCUCUUAAAACCCUUUUGCUCUCUUAGAUAUGGCAUAAAGUGCAGACUACUGACAGGAACUUUUUAUAACGACAAACUAUUAACUUCUAACCAAAGUGUGAUUACAGUGAUGGUGUUGGUAGGCAGCAGAGAGAGACAGGACUCGAGGAGGCCCUU